rnacentral:rRNA from 1 species
AUUUUUAUUCAAUAUAUAAAUUGGGGACUACGAGCUAAGCUUAAAAACCAAAGAAUAUGGCGGUAUUUCAUUUAAUCAGGGUGACAUGUAUCUUAAUCUGACAACCCACGAUUUUAAUUCCUAAUUUUGAACUACAGUAUGUGUACUGCCGUUAUAACACAACCCUAUAGGGUUGUGUAAGAGAUAUAAAUCAUUAUAUAGAUAGUCAGGUCCAAGCACAGCUAACAAUUAGGUGAGAAUGUGUUACACUUAUUUAAACAUUCAGUUUGUUUAUUUAAAUAUAAACAUAAAGAAGAACUUGAUAGUAAUUGUGUUAAUUAAGCUCAAUGAAAUUAAUUAGAAAUA